UCCUCGCCGCUGCCGCUAGGGAGCACUGUUACCAGACAGGGCCAAGCCGGGAGGCGGGGUCCAAGGCCGGGCGGCGGCCAGGCGGGGGCGGGUGGAGGCGUUCGACUUCUUAGUCCACUCAGCUCCUUGGCCACUUCGGGUCGAGACCCGCUGAGUGCCAGGUUCGCAGGAAUGCUGACGUCUCAUCUAUGUGGGCUCUCCAAAACUGCUCAGGAUUUAAAGGCUUCCCCAUUGACUGAGACACAAUAUUGAAAUCACCCCAAUUAAUAAUCCUACAAUGGCCUCUAAGUGUUCAAGUAAAAGGAUGAAUUACACAUCUGUCACUUUAAAUCAAAAGGUAGAAAUUAAUACUCUUAGUGAAUAAGGCAUGUCAAAAGCCUAUUGAUAGGCUGAAAGCUUGGCCUCUUGCACCAAAGAGCACAUUUGUGAGUGCAAGGAAAAAGUUCUUAAAAAUUGAAAGUACUACUCCAGUGACACAUCAAUGAUAAUAAAGUGAGACAGCCUUAUUGCAGAUUUGGGGAAAGUUUUAGUGGUAUGGACAGAAGAUCACACCAGUCAUAACAUUCCCUUAGGCCAACACCCAAGCCACCAAUUCUACAAAAGCGGAGAAAGGAGGAAGCCUCAGCAGAAAAGUCUGAUGCUGGUAGAGGUUGUUUCAUAAGGUUUAAGCCAUCUCCAUGACAUACAAGUGCAAGGUGAAGCAGCAAGUUAUCCAGAAGAACUAACUAAGGUAAUUAAUAAAGAUGGCUAUACUCAACAACAGACUUUCAAUGUAGAUGGAACAGCCUUCCAUUGGAAAAUGUCAUUUAGGACUUUUUACACCUAGUGAAAAAAAGUCCAUGCCUGGCUUCAAAGCUUCAAAAGACAGGCUGACUCUCUUGUUAGGGCAUAACAUAGCGAAUAACUUUCAGUUGAAGCCAGUGGUCCUUUACCAUUCUGAAAAUCCUAGGGCCCUUAAGAAUUAUGCUAAAUCUACUCUAACUGUGCUCUACAAAUGGAACAACAAAGCCUGGAUGGUAGCACAUCUGUUUAUAGUAUGGCUUACUGAAUACUUUAAGCCUACUGUUGAGACCUACUGCUCAGAGAAAAAAGUCUUCUCAAAAUAUUACUGCUCAUUGGCAAUGUUCCUGGUCACUCAAGAACUCUGAUGGAGAUACACAAUGAGACAAACAUGUUCAUACCUGCUAAAAGAACACUCGUUCCACAGCCAGCCCACGGUUCAAGGAGUCACUUUGACUUUAAAUCUUACUAUUUAAGAAAUAUGUUUUGUAAGGCUAUACCUGCCAUAAUACAGUGGUUCCUCUGAUGGAUCUAGGCAAGGUAAAUCAAAAAUUUUCUGGAAAGGAUUCACCAUUCUAGAUCCAUUAAGAACAUUCGUGACUCAUGGGAAGAGGUCAAAUAUCAACAUUAACAGGAGUCUGGAAGAAGGUGAUUCCUACCCUUGUGAAUGACUUCAAGGGGUUCAAGAUUUUAGUGGAGGAAGUCACUGCAGAUGUGGUGGGAACAGCAAGAGAACUAAAAUUAAAAGUGAAGUCUGAAGGUGUGACUAACAUUGAUGCAAUCUCAUGAUAAAACUUGAAUGGAUGAGUUGUUCCUUAUGAUGAUCAAAGAAAGUGGUUUCUUGGGAUGGAAUCUACUCCUAGUGAAGAUAAUGUGCAGACUGUUGAAAUGAUAGCAAAGGAUUUCAAGUAUUACAUACUAAUUGAUAAAGCAGCAGCAGGAUUUUGGAGGAUUGACUCCAAUUUUGAAAGAAGUUCUGUUGGUAAAAUGCUAUCAAACAGCACUGCAUGCCUCAGAGAAAUCGUUCUGUGAAAAUCAAUCAAUGUGACAGACUUCACUGUUGUCCUAUUUUAAGAAACUGCUACAGCCACCCAACCUUCACAACUACCUCCCUGGUCAGUCAGCAGGCACUCUCCACCAGCAAAAAGAUUUUGGCUCACUUAAAGCUCAGGUGACGGCAUUUUUUAGCAAUAAAGUAUUUUUUUAUUUAUUUUUAA